rnacentral:tRNA from 4 species
GAUUCCUUAACUUAAUCAGGUAAAGUAUACUUUUGAUAAGAGUAGGUUUAGCGUUCAAGUCGCUAAGGAAUCA